AGCGGCUGCUCCACGGAGACCACGGCCCCCGCGACGGCCCGCGGCGGCGCCGCCGCCGACGCCAAGGGAUCGUUCGGCCCGGUCGACUGCCG
rnacentral:tRNA from 1 species